AUAUUGGUGGUGUGGACAUUCCUGGAGAAGAGCCUUAAAACUUUCCCAAGCAUGAUAGUGGUUUUCAUCAUGCUUUUGUUUGAAACUCACUAUCUCACUGCGAAGUCU
rfam:Capsicum annuum cultivar Zunla-1 chromosome 8, whole genome shotgun sequence